AGNUNUUCAAUUNGUCACGAGGUGAAAUCNCUUUGGAUUUAUUGAAGACUAACUACUGCGGAAGCAUUUGCCAAGGAUGUUUUCAUUAAUCAAGAACGAAAGUUAGGGGAUCGAAGACGAUCAGAUACCGUCGUAGUCUUAACCAUAAACUAUGCAUGUUAAUUUUUUAAUGACUCA
rnacentral:rRNA from 1 species